GUGCUUGCUUCAGCAGCACAUAUACUAAAAUUGGAAUGAUACAGAGAAGAUUAGUAUGGCCCCUGCAGAAGGAUGACAUGCACAUUUAUGAAGCAUUCUAUAUUUUA